rnacentral:tRNA from 1 species
GGAUAUAGCUCAGUGGUAGAGUGUGUGCCUGGCAUGCGUGAAGUCCUGGAUUCAAUCCCCAGUACCUCCA